UACGAAGGGGGCUAGCGUUGUUCGGAAUUACUGGGCGUAAAGCGCACGUAGGCGGCUUUGUAAGUUAGAGGUGAAAGCCUGGAGCUCAACUCCAGAAUUGCCUUUAAGACUGCAUCGCUUGAAUCGCGGAGAGGUGAGUGGAAUUCCGAGUGUAGAGGUGAAAUUCGUAGAUAUUCGGAAGAACACCAGUGGCGAAGGCGGCUCACUGGACGCGUAUUGACGCUGAGGUGCGAAAGCGUGGGGAGCAAACAGGG
rnacentral:rRNA from 1 species